UGUCCGUUGCUGUUCUUCUUUUUUUUUCUUUUUUUUCUUUUCUCCGUGUUGUU
rnacentral:ribozyme from 12 species